rnacentral:lncRNA from 1 species
GGGUUAGCGUCCAACCUCCUUUCUCCGCUUCAGCCCCGCCCGCCCUGCUAUUCUCCUAGCCGCUUCUCCCGCACAACCUACGGGGGGAGAGGCGGGGCUGGGGCUCCAGCCGCCCUAGGAGAUCCUCCCCUCCUCCCGCCUGCUUCCCCGCCUCGCUCCCUCUCCCGUCUUUUCUCUUUCCUCCUCUCUCCUCCCCACCCCCCCCCGCCACUGGCCCCUCCCCGCCCUCUCCCACCUCCCUCCACCCUCCCCCCUCCUCCCUCCGCGCCUGGGCCGCUGAAGGCUGAGUCAUCGCUGCGGCGCUGCCGGGAGAGCAGGCGAGCAGCUCACAUCCCACCGCGAUGUGGCCGACAGGAUUCCGGACUUUCGGGAGAAUAUGGUGGAAACUGGAGCUGUUCGCCGUGCACGGGGGUCCGCAGAUGUUUUUUGAUUGACCACUCAGUGCUAGGCACUGUGUUUGCUGCUGAGUGCUGGGCAGAGUGGGAAACAAGUUCCUAGCUCCUGCCCAUGAGGAGCUCACCGGGCACAACAAAUACACCGUCUGACCAGCUGUCCCUCUGGCCUGCAGCCUGUGAGCAGCUGCAAGUUUACAGCUUUGACAUCCACUUGAAAGAACAAUUUCACGCCUGCUUCCACAGGUGACCAAAUAUAUUUCAUUGAUUCCAUUCACCUCAUAUUGGUCUCACCAUGUCUUUCGCUGAUCCUCAAUGGCUUUUUCUCUCUAGAGUUGGGGAAAUUGGG